AAAGCGUUAUGAUGAUGGCGAUCGCGUUCGCCCAGUCUAGCUUGAAUGAGUUUUUUGCUCGU
rfam:Lactobacillus rossiae DSM 15814 Scaffold4, whole genome shotgun sequence.